UAUGAACACACCACAUAUAAUAAUAAGAGGAUAGACAUUAAAGCCAACAACCUAUUAAAAGUGUAAAUUUGAAAUCAAAAAAGAUUAAAAAAAAGAAUAGGAAUCGACUUCUUUUACACAAAGAAAUCCACACCUAUUUGAUAUUAGCUUGGACAUCCUCUAUUGACGACUGCAUUUUCUGAUAGCACAAACAAGACUUUUUCAGACUUAAAUGAAAAUUAAAUAAACC